GAGGGGAUAGCUCAGUGGUAGCGUGUGUGCUCAGCAUGCAUGAGGUCCUGGGUUCAAUCCCCAGUACUUCCA
rnacentral:tRNA from 1 species